rnacentral:rRNA from 1 species
GACGAACGCUGGCGGCGUGCUUAACACAUGCAAGUCGAACGGAAAGGCCCUGCUUUUGUGGGGUGCUCGAGUGGCGAACGGGUGAGUAACACGUGAGUAACCUGCCCUUGACUUUUGGAUAUCUUCAGGAAACUGGGGCUAAUACCGGUUAGGAGCUCCUGCUGCAUGGUGGGUGUUGGAAAGUUUCGGCGGUUGGGGAUGGACUCGCGGCUUAUCAGCUUGUUGGUGGUGUAGUGGCUUACCAAGGCUUUGACGGGUAGCCGGCCUGAGAGGGUGACCGGCAACAGUGGGACUGAGAUACGGCCCAGAGUACUACGGGAGGCAGCAGUGGGGAAUAUUGCACGAUGGGCGGAAGCCUGAUGCAGCAUCGCCGCGUGCGGGAUGGCGGCCUUCGGGUAGUAAACCGCUUUCGCCUGUAACGAAGCGUGAGUGACGGUAAUGGGUAAAGAAGCACCGGCUAACUACGUG